rnacentral:rRNA from 1 species
GACGAACGCUGGCGGCGUGCUUAACACAUGCAAGUCGAACGGAAAGGCCCUGCUUUUGUGGGGUGCUCGAGUGGCGAACGGGUGAGUAACACGUGAGUAACCUGCCCUUGACUUUGGGAUAACUUCAGGAAACUGGGGCUAAUACCGGAUAGGAGCUCCUGCUGCAUGGUGGGGGUUGGAAAGUUUCGGCGGUUGGGGAUGGACUCGCGGCUUAUCAGCUUGUUGGUGGGGUAGUGGCUUACCAAGGCUUUGACGGGUAGCCGGCCUGAGAGGGUGACCGGCCACAUUGGGACUGAGAUACGGCCCAGACUCCUACGGGAGGCAGCAGUGGGGAAUAUUGCACAAUGGGCGGAAGCCUGAUGCAGCAACGCCGCGUGCGGGAUGACGGCCUUCGGGUUGUAAACCGCUUUCGCCUGUGACGAAGCGUGAGUGACGGUAAUGGGUAAAGAAGCACCGGCUAACUACGUGCCAGCAGCCGCGGUGAUACGUAGGGUGCGAGCGUUGUCCGGAUUUAUUGGGCGUAAAGGGCUCGUAGGUGGUUGAUCGCGUCGGAAGUGUAAUCUUGGGGCUUAACCCUGAGCGUGCUUUCGAUACGGGUUGACUUGAGGAAGGUAGGGGAGAAUGGAAUUCCUGGUGGAGCGGUGGAAUGCGCAGAUAUCAGGAGGAACACCAGUGGCGAAGGCGGUUCUCUGGGCCUUUCCUGACGCUGAGGAGCGAAAGCGUGGGGAGCGAACAGGCUUAGAUACCCUGGUAGUCCACGCUGUAAACGGUGGGUACUAGGUGUGGGGUCCAUUCCACGGGUUCCGUGCCGUAGCUAACGCUUUAAGUACCCCGCCUGGGGAGUACGGCCGCAAGGCUAAAACUCAAAGGAAUUGACGGGGCCCCGCACAAGCGGCGGAGCAUGCGGAUUAAUUCGAUGCAACGCGUAGAACCUUACCUGGGUUUGACAUGGAUCGGGAGUGCUCAGAGAUGGGUGUGCCUCUUUUGGGGUCGGUUCACAGGUGGUGCAUGCCUGUCGUCAGCUCGUGUCGUGAGAUGUUGGGUUAAGUCCCGCAACGAGCGCAACCCCUGUUCACUGUUGCCAGCACGUUAUGGUGGGGACUCAGUGGAGACCGCCGGGGUCAACUCGGAGGAAGGUGGGGAUGACGUCAAGUCAUCAUGCCCCUUAUGUCCAGGGCUUCACGCAUGCUACAAUGGCUGGUACAGAGAGUGGCGAGCCUGUGAGGGUGAGCGAAUCUCGGAAAGCCGGUCUCAGUUCGGAUUGGGGUCUGCAACUCGACCUCAUGAAGUCGGAGUCGCUAGUAAUCGCAGAUCAGCAACGCUGCGGUGAAUACGUUCCCGGG